AAUACGUUCCCGGGUCUUGUACACACCGCCCGUCACACCAUGGGAGCGGGUUUUACCAGAAGUAGGUAGCUUAACCGUAAGGGGGGCGCUUACCACGGUAGGAUUCGUCGACUCGGGGUG
rnacentral:rRNA from 1 species